rnacentral:rRNA from 1 species
GGCGGACGGGUGAGUAAUGUCUGGGAAACUGCCUGAUGGAGGGGGAUAACUACUGGAAACGGUAGCUAAUACCGCAUAACGUCGCAAGACCAAAGGAGGGGACCUUCGGGCCUCUUGCCAUCGGAUGUGCCCAGAUGGGAUUAGCUAGUAGGUGGGGUAACGGCUCACCUAGGCGACGAUCCCUAGCUGGUCUGAGAGGAUGACCAGCCACACUGGAACUGAGACACGGUCCAGACUCCUACGGGAGGCAGCAUG